rnacentral:rRNA from 1 species
CAUGCAAGUCGAGCGGUAGCACAAGAGAGCUUGCUCUCUGGGUGACGAGCGGCGGACGGGUGAGUAAUGUCUGGGAAACUGCCUGAUGGAGGGGGAUAACUACUGGAAACGGUAGCUAAUACCGCAUGAUGUCUUCGGACCAAAGUGGGGGACCUUCGGGCCUCACGCCAUCAGAUGUGCCCAGAUGGGAUUAGCUAGUAGGUGGGGUAAUGGCUCACCUAGGCGACGAUCUCUAGCUGGUCUGAGAGGAUGACCAGCCACACUGGAACUGAGACACGGUCCAGACUCCUACGGGAGGCAGCAGUGGGGAAUAUUGCACAAUGGGCGCAAGCCUGAUGCAGCCAUGCCGCGUGUAUGAAGAAGGCCUUCGGGUUGUAAAGUACUUUCAGCGAGGAGGAAGGCAUUGUGGUUAAUAACCGCAGUGAUUGACGUUACUCGCAGAAGAAGCACCGGCUAACUCCGUGCCAGCAGCCGCGGUAAUACGGAGGGUGCAAGCGUUAAUCGGAAUUACUGGGCGUAAAGCGCACGCAGGCGGUUGAUUAAGUCAGAUGUGAAAUCCCCGAGCUUAACUUGGGAACUGCAUUUGAAACUGGUCAGCUAGAGUCUUGUAGAGGGGGGUAGAAUUCCAGGUGUAGCGGUGAAAUGCGUA